AUUACUCCUACGGGAGGCAGCAGUUAGGAAUAUUGGACAAUGGGCGCAAGCCUGAUCCAGCCAUGCCGCGUGUGUGAUGAAGGCCUUAGGGUUGUAAAGCACUUUCGUUGGGGAUGAUAAUGACCGUACCCAAAGAAGAAGCACCGGCUAACUUCGUGCCAGCAGCCGCGGUAAUAAU
rnacentral:rRNA from 1 species